AACGAACGCUGGCGGCAUGCCUAACACAUGCAAGUCGAACGAGACCUUCGGGUCUAGUGGCGCACGGGUGCGUAACGCGUGGGAACCUGCCUUUAGGUUCGGAAUAACUCAGAGAAAUUUGAGCUAAUACCGGAUAAUGUCUUCGGACCAAAGAUUUAUCGCCUUUAGAUGGGCCCGCGUUGGAUUAGCUAGUUGGUGGGGUAAAGGCCUACCAAGGCGACGAUCCAUAGCUGGUCUGAGAGGAUGAUCAGCCACACUGGGACUGAGACACGGCCCAGACUCCUACGGGAGGCAGCAGUGGGGAAUAUUGGACAAUGGGCGAAAGCCUGAUCCAGCAAUGUCGCGUGAGUGAUGAAGGCCUUAGGGUUGUAAAGCUCUUUUACCCGAGAUGAUAAUGACAGUAUCGGGAGAAUAAGCUCCGGCUAACUCCGUGCCAGCAGCCGCGGUAAUGUGACUACUG
rnacentral:rRNA from 1 species